rnacentral:rRNA from 1 species
GUGGGGAAUAUUGCGCAAUGGGGGAAACCCUGACGCAGCGACGCCGCGUGCGGGAUGAAGGCCUUCGGGUUGUAAACCGCUUUUGAUUGGGAGCAAGCCUUUUUGGUGAGUGUACCUUUCGAAUAAGCGCCGGCUAACUACGUGCCAGCAGCCGCGGUAAUACGUAGGGCGCAAGCGUUAUCCGGAAUUAUUGGGCGUAAAGAGCUUGUAGGCGGUUCGUCGCGUCUGGUGUGAAAGCCCAUCGCUUAACGGUGGGUUUGCGCCGGGUACGGGCGGGCUAGAGUGCAGUAGGGGAGACUGGAAUUCUCGGUGUAACGGUGGAAUGUGUAGAUAUCGGGAAGAACACCAAUGGCGAAGGCAGGUCUCUGGGCUGUUACUGACGCUGAGAAGCGAAAGCGUGGGGAGCGAACAGGAUUAGAAACCCUAGUAGUCC